UACGUAGGGGGCAAGCGUUGUCCGGAAUUAUUGGGCGUAAAGAGCGUGUAGGCGGUUAGAUAAGUUUGCUGUAAAAGUCGGGGGCUCAACCCCCGAAAGCCGGUGAAUACUGUCGGACUAGAGUGCGGAAGAGGCGAGUGGAAUUCCUGGUGUAGCGGUGAAAUGCGCAGAUAUCAGGAGGAACACCUAUUGCGAAGGCAGCUCGCUGGUACGUAACUGACGCUGAGACGCGAAAGCGUGGGGAGCAAACAGG
rnacentral:rRNA from 1 species